AGGUAGCGAAAUUCCUUGUCGGGUAAGUUCCGACCUGCACGAAUGGCGUAACGACUUCCCCACUGUCUCGACCAGGAGCUCGGCGAAAUUGCAGUACGAGUAAAGAUGCUCGUUAAGCGCAGAAGGACGAAAAGACCCCGGGACCUUUACUAUACCUUGGUAUUGGCGUUAGGCGCGGAUUGUGUAGCAUAGGCGGGAGGCUUCGAAGCAUGGGCGCCAGCCCGUGUGGAGCCGCAAGGUGAAAUACCGCUCUGUUCUCGUUUGAUGUCUAACCUCGAACAGUCAUCCUGUUCAGGGACAGUGCCUGGCGGGUAGUUCAACUGGGGCGGUUGCCUCCCAAAGAGUAACGGAGGCGCUCAAAGGUCCGCUCGGCCCGGUUGGCAAUCGGGUGUCGAGUGUAAUCGCACAAGCGGGCUUGACUGCGAGAUCGACGGAUCGAGCAGGGACGAAAGUCGGAGAUAGUGAUCCGGUGCCGGCGCACGGGCGCGGCAUCGCUCAACGGAUAAAAGGUACCCCGGGGAUAACAGGCUGAUCAUUCCCAAGAGUCCAUAUCGACGGGAUGGUUUGGCACCUCGAUGUCGGCUCGUCGCAUCCUGGGGCUGGAGCAGGUCCCAAGGGUUCGGCUGUUCGCCGAUUAAAGCGGCACGCGAGCUGGGUUCAGAACGUCGUGAGACAGUUUGGUCUCUAUCCUCUGCGCUCGUUGGAAUCUUGAGGAGGCCUGCCCAUAGUACGAGAGGACCUGGGUGGACGAACCUCUGGUAUGCCGGUCGUCACGCCAGUGGCGCGGCCGGUUGGCUACGUUCGGAAGGGAUAACCGCUGAAAGCAUCUAAGCGGGAAGCCUUCUCCAAGAUAAGGAUUCCAUGCGGCCCCGAGCCGCUGAAGACCCCAUGCAGAACACGUGGUCGAUAGGCCGGACGUGGAAGCCCCGCGAGGGGUGGAGCCGACCGGUACUAAUGGUCGAGAGGCAACCCAC
rnacentral:rRNA from 1 species